rnacentral:rRNA from 1 species
UGGGGAAUAUUACACAAUGGGCGAAAGCCUGAUGCAGCAACGCCGCGUGAGUGAUGAAGGUCUUCGGAUUGUAAAGCUCUGUCUUUUGGGACGAUAAUGACGGUACCAAAGGAGGAAGCCACGGCUAACUACGUGCCAGCAGCCGCGGUAAUACGUAGGUGGCGAGCGUUGUCCGGAUUUACUGGGCGUAAAGGGUGCGUAGGCGGAUGUUUAAGUGAGAUGUGAAAUACCCGGGCUUAACUUGGGUGCUGCAUUUCAAACUGGAUAUCUAGAGUGCAGGACAGGAGAAUGGAAUUCCUAGUGUAGCGGUGAAAUGCGUAGAGAUUAGGAAGAACACCAGUGGCGAAGGCGAUUCUCUGGACUGUAACUGACGCUGAGGCACGAAAGCGUGGGUAGCAAACAGGAUUAGAUACCCUGGUAG